UGUAUUUGUUUGUUUUUGCAUGAAGUCUAUUUGAGCAAGGGUCUGCUCUUUCUGUACCUCUAGUUCUGAGAGAUUUCUCCAACAGAGACUGACAAUUC